UGGGAAUCCACACUGUGUGCAGACACCAAA
rnacentral:piRNA from 1 species